rnacentral:lncRNA from 1 species
AAAAUCCACAUAUUCUCUGAAACUACAAGUCCAAUCGACCUGAAAAUUUGCAGUCAGCAGGGCAUACAUGUACUGAAGGUUCAUAAAAAAACUUUUUGCAGAUAUCUCUCAAGACUUUUCCUAGAAAAAAGAAAUGGCAAUGCAGUAAAAAUCGCUUGCUAGGUCCGUCAAUCUCAGUAAAAACCUACAAUAAAAUGUCCGCUCCGAGAUUGAAAUACUAAUCUGUGUUACAAACAGGUGCUGAAAAAUGGACAUUAUCAAAAAAUAAUCAUUAAAUGUGUUUUAAAGUUACACCGGAUCGAUUAAAUCCAAAACAUGCACUGCUGGUGAACUGUGAUCAAAAUGUCAAUUUCCUACAAUGACAAAAGAAAUUGCAUUGUGUACAUUCCAUCUCUAGACUUGUUGUCUGUUCAAGGUCCCGACCUAAAAAGAAAUUAAAAGACUAAGUUUUUCUUAAUAUAAACCCGCGUCAUGUGAUGUCUCCUCAAUCUUGCGCGCGCGCUGUAUCUAAAAUAAAAGAAAAACUUUCCAAACUAAACAUGAAACUUCUCCGGUAACAUAAUAAUAUAGACCCUAUACCAAAGCAAA